CCUACGGGGGGCAGCAGCCGCGGUAAUACGGAGGAUGCGAGCGUUAUCCGGAUUUAUUGGGUUUAAAGGGUGCGUAGGCGGUUUUUUAAGUUAGUGGUUAAACGUCGGGGCUUCACCUUGAUUUGCCAUUAAUACUGUAAGACUCGAGUUCAGACGAGGUAGGCGGAAUAAGUUAAGUAGCGGUGAAAUGCUUAGAUAUAACUUAGAACUCCGAUAGCGAAGGCAGCUUACCAGACUGCGACUGACGCUGAAGCACGAGAGCGUGGGUAGCGAACAGGAUUAAAAACCCGAGUAGUCCAGAUCGG
rnacentral:rRNA from 1 species